rnacentral:rRNA from 1 species
GACAGAGGGUGCAAACGUUGCUCGGAAUUACUGGGCGUAAAGCGCGUGUAGGCGGACUGGUGUGUCGGAUGUGAAAUCCCCAGGCUCAACCUGGGAACUGCAUUCGAAACUGCCAGCCUUGAGUGGUGGAGAGGGAAGUGGAAUUCCUGGUGUAGAGGUGAAAUUCGUAGAUAUCAGGAGGAACGCCAGUGGCGAAGGCGGCUUCCUGGACACCAACUGACGCUGAGACGCGAAAGCGUGGGGAGCAAACAGG